AACAGCUCAAAUUUGAAAGCUAGCUCUUUUAGGGUUCGCAUUGUAAUUUGUAGAAGAUGCUUCGGGUGUGGCCCCGGUCUAAGUUCCUUGGAACAGGACGUCAUAGAGGGUGAGAAUCCCGUAUGUGACUGGGUGCUUUCGCUCAUGUGAAGCUCUUUCGACGAGUCGAGUUGUUUGGGAAUGCAGCUCAAAAUGGGUGGUAAAUUUCAUCUAAAGCUAAAUAUUGGCCAGAGACCGAUAGCGCACAAGUAGAGUGAUCGAAAGAUGAAAAGCACUUUGGAAAGAGAGUUAAACAGUACGUGAAAUUGUUGAAAGGGAAGCGCUUGCAACCAGACUUGCGCGCUGAUGAUCAUCCGGGCUUCUGUCCGGUGCACUCGUCUGCGCUCAGGCCAGCAUCGGUUUCGGUGGUGGGAUAAAGGCCUUGGGAAUGUAGCUCCUCUCGGGGAGUGUUAUAGCCCUCGGUGCAAUGCCGCCUACCGGGACCGAGGACCGCGCUUCGGCUAGGAUGCUGGCGUAAUGGUUGUAAGCGACCCGUCUUGAAACACGGACCAAGGAGUCUAACAUCUAUGCGAGUGUUUGGGUGUCAAACCCAUACGCGUAAUGAAAGUGAACGGAGGUGAGAACCCUUAAGGGUGCAUCAUCGACCGGUCCUGAUGUCUUCGGAUGGAUCUGAGUAAGAGCAUAGCUGUUGGGACCCGAAAGAUGGUGAACUAUGCGUGAAUAGGGUGAAGCCAGAGGAAACUCUGGUGGA
rnacentral:rRNA from 1 species